rnacentral:rRNA from 1 species
GGGCUUGCGUCCUAUCAGGUAGUUGGUGAGGUAAAGGCCCACCAAGCCGAAGACGGGUAGCUGGUCUGAGAGGAUGGUCAGCCACACUGGGACUGAGACACGGCCCAGACUCCUACGGGAGGCAGCAGCAAGGGAUAUUGCGCAAUGGGCGAAAGCCUGACGCAGCAACGCCGCGUGGGUGAAGAAGGCCUUCGGGUUGUAAAGCCCUUUUCCGGGGGAAGUGACGGUACCCCGGGAGGAAGCCUCGGCUAACUACGUGCCAGCAGCCGCGGUAAGACGUAGGAGGCGAGCGUUAUCCGGAUUUACUGGGCGUAAAGAGCGCUAAGGCGGCGAGGGAAGUCAGCCCUGAAAUCUCCCGGCUCAACCGGGAGGGGAGGGUUGAUACUCCCCCGCUUGAGUAUGGGAGAGGGAGGUGGAACUCCCGGAGUAGAGGUGAAAUGCGUAGAU